CAGACACGCGAUGACAAACCUUAUUUUCCCAAAAUCGAAUCUGGGACCCUUUCUCUUCGUCUUCUCCGUCGUCUUCGUUUCAGGCAUUACCACAAUUCAAUUACCAUCCGUAACUCCUGAAUUUAAUGCGGUUAAGUCCUUUGGAGUCCCUCUCCUUCCCUCCUUAUACAUAGCUUCAGUGUGAAGCUAGCUAUUGAGGAUAUACUGUUGAUCUUCUCUUGGCUUGGCCUCUCCACGACCUUUGGUUUACGGACGGAAGCGAUUAUCACCGCCGACGUUUUUCAGGAAUCACUUGGUCACUGUUGACUAUCACCGUCGCUGAUCGACGUCUCCAUUCACACCGUUAUUUUUGGUGGCGCUAAGUUCAACCCUUCCGGUCACGCAGCCUUCUAUGCAGCCGAUAUCCCGAAGUGGAUGAGCACCUGAGCGGAUUCAAUCGGAAUAAGUUUUUAAAUUGUAAUCGAGAAGGAGAAGCAGCUGUCUUCAGGGAAUUUCUUACUCAUGCUUCAGAAGGUCUAUUUGUACUUGACCCUAUGUCAUACAGACUUACAGUGCAUUGCCCGUUAGGUUAUCACUUUCCUUAGUUAUUCGUUCUAUCUGUUCCACUCAUUCAAAUAGGGAUACCCAUCUCAGAGAAAGGAACACGCGGAUCAACUCAUGGAGAAAUUGUUACAAUCAGUCACUACAUUUUCUCUGGACUAUGAAAAAAAUGUUAAAAUAUUGACUCAUGGGUAACAUCCGUUAUGGUGUAGUCUUUUAAUGUCACAGAACCUGAUCAGAAAGUUUGUUUAGAACUUGAACUUGACGGAGCAGCCGUGCAGGUUAUGAGCUGUGUUUGACACUAAAAUGGAAACCAUGAGAUCUUGAAAUGGAUCGAUAAUAUCUCAGCAGACUGUUGUAUUCAUGUUACCUGCAUUCUGUGGUCAAGUUUCCUCGCUAUUUAUGCAUGCUUAUGGCUAUCGUGUCAAACAUCUACUAAGCAAACUAAGCCUUUUUUCCUUCACCAUAUCUUGGUUUUUCUUAUUACACAGUAGCAAAGCAUCCUCACGUUUUCUUUUCCCUUAUGCAUAGAGUAACCAUAUUUCUUGAUUAAUGCUGCUUAGUGAUGCAAUGUUCCUGUAAAUUUAGGUUUUUCCUAAGGUCAUGUGUAUGUUUUAUCUGACUUGGAGUCAUGCAUAUGGAGAUGGUUCAAAAAUCAGGGAAUUCGUUUCUAGACUUCAAAUAUGAAAUGUGUCUCUCCGUUUCAGGGAAAGUGUUUGUUUAGCAUUCACUUUAGUUUAUUAAAUGCGGAAACUAAACUGAUAUUGAGUGGCUUAAGUUUGGGGAUUGUCUCUUUGUUCCCUUUAUGUAAUAGAUGUGCUCUGCAUUGGUAAUUCUACCAUAAGUUUGUUAUGACUUAUUGAGUUCUUUAUCAAGUUUUGAAAUCAUUAAGU